rnacentral:tRNA from 1 species
GGGGAUGUAGUUCAGUUCUAGAACAUUUCCAAGCACAUGGAAAGGCCCUGGGUUCAAAUCCCAGUACUGCUU